rnacentral:rRNA from 1 species
GAUGAACGCUAGCGGCAGGCCUAAUACAUGCAAGUCGAACGGUGUAGCAAUACAUAGUGGCGCACGGGUGCGUAACACGUAUGCAACCUACCUUAUACUGGGGGAUAGCCUUUGGAAACGGAGAUUAAUACCCCAUAGUACAUUUGAUUGGCAUCAAUUGAAUGUUAAAGAUUUAUCGGUAUAAGCUGGGCAUGCGUCCAAUUAGUUAGUUGGUGAGGUAACGGCUCACCAAGACUUUGAUUGGUAGGGGAACUGAGAGGUUAAUCCCCCACACUGGCACUGAGAUACGGGCCAGACUCCUACGGGAGGCAGCAGUAGGGAAUAUUGGGCAAUGGAGGCAACUCUGACCCAGCCAUGCCGCGUGCAGGAAGAAGGCGUUAUGCGUUGUAAACUGCUUUUAUAUAGGAAGAAAUAGUCCUUGCGAGGAAAGUUGACGAUACUAUAUGAAUAAGCACCGGCUAACUCCGUGCCAGCCGCCGCCGUAA